UGAACGCNGGCGGGCGUGGUUAAGACAUGCAAGUCGAACGGGCUUUUCUGAGGUAGCAAUACUUUAGAAGAGCAAGUGGCGAACGGGUGCGUAACACGUGAACAAUCUACCUUUAAGUGGGGAAUAGCUCGUCGAAAGGCGAAUUAAUACCGCAUGUGGUCAGGUCUCGCAUGAGAUUUGAACUAAAGUCAGGGACCGCAAGGCCUGACGCUUUUAGAGGAG
rnacentral:rRNA from 1 species